GAAUGAGGUCAAAACGAGUGUCUGCUGCCCAAAGAGCAGCCAGGGAAAAAGAAAAGAGAAAGACAGCAAAGUCUGCAGCAAACACUGAGCACUCACAGAGUUUGGUGGGGAACUCUUUAAAAAACCCAGAAACACUUCAGCAAUUAUCAGAACCAAACUAUGGAAAACGGGAAGUUAGAUUGAUUGAUGUUUUGAAAGAAAAACCGAGAACCAAAAUCCCAGCAGUCAUGAAAAAACUGAGGAAAGAUAAUGUGGAACUGUCUGUUAUUGAAAGUGAAAAAACUGAAUUUACUUUCUGUCCACUAUCAGAGGUCACAAAAGAACGGUUGCGAAAAAGAACAAACUCCAGUGUUGUUGCAAAUGAAUCGGAAGAAUCCACAGACAUUGAACAAAUGCUCACGAAACUUAUCAAUGUAGCACUGGUGAUGAAAACCGUCAAUUGGAGAGGAAAAUACUGCAAGGCAACUGUCAUCAAGGACAUCCUAGGUUCGGUGCAUCCGCCGGAAAACAAUGUGUUUUGAACAGUCUUGCUUCUUUGAUGUAUAGCAAAGUAAAGCACACACA
rnacentral:sRNA from 1 species